CAGUCGCCACGGUAAUACGGAGGGUGCAAGCGUUAAUCGGAAUUACUGGGCGUAAAGCGCACGCAGGCGGUUUGUUAAGUCAGAUGUGAAAUCCCCGAGCUUAACUUGGGAACUGCAUCUGAAACUGGCAAGCUAGAGUCUUGUAGAGGGGGGUAGAAUUCCAGGUGUAGCGGUGAAAUGCGUAGAGAUCUGGAGGAAUACCGGUGGCGAAGGCGGCCCCCUGGACAAAGACUGACGCUCAGGUGCGAAAGCGUGGGGAGCAAACAGGAUUAGAUACCCCUGUAGUCCCUGUCUCUUAUAC
rnacentral:rRNA from 1 species